GAUGAACGCUGACAGAAUGCUUAACACAUGCAAGUCAACUUGAAUUUGGGUUUUUUCACUUAGAUUUGGGUGGCGGACGGGUGAGUAACGCGUAAAGAACUUGCCUCACAGCUAGGGACAACAUUUGGAAACGAAUGCUAAUACCUGAUAUUAUGAUUAUAAGGCAUCUUAGAAUUAUGAAAGCUAUAUGCGCUGUGAGAGAGCUUUGCGUCCCAUUAGCUAGUUGGAGAGGUAACGGCUCACCAAGGCGAUGAUGGGUAGCCGGCCUGAGAGGGUGAACGGCCACAAGGGGACUGAGACACGGCCCUUACUCCUACGGGAGGCAGCAGUGGGGAAUAUUGGACAAUGGACCAAGAGUCUGAUCCAGCAAUUCUGUGUGCACGAUGACGUUUUUCGGAAUGUAAAGUGCUUUCAGUUGGGAAGAAAAAAAUGACGGUACCAACAGAAGAAGUGACGGCUAAAUACGUG
rnacentral:rRNA from 1 species